AUCCAGCUGAAGAGUCCCAAUCAGUACGAAACGUGAGUCAUGGAU
rnacentral:hammerhead_ribozyme from 1 species